UACGUAGGGUGCAAGCGUUAAUCGGAAUUACUGGGCGUAAAGCGUGCGCAGGCGGCUCUGCAAGACAGAUGUGAAAUCCCCGGGCUUAACCUGGGAACUGCAUUUGUGACUGCAUGGCUAGAGUGCGGCAGAGGGGGAUGGAAUUCCGCGUGUAGCAGUGAAAUGCGUAGAUAUGCGGAGGAACACCGAUGGCGAAGGCAAUCCCCUGGGCCUGCACUGACGCUCAUGCACGAAAGCGUGGGGAGCAAACAGG
rnacentral:rRNA from 1 species